rnacentral:rRNA from 1 species
GAUGAACGCUGGCGGCGUGCCUAAUACAUGCAAGUCGAGCGAACAGACGAGGAGCUUGCUCCUCUGACGUUAGCGGCGGACGGGUGAGUAACACGUGGAUAACCUACCUAUAAGACUGGGAUAACUUCGGGAAACCGGAGCUAAUACCGGAUAAUAUAUUUAACCGCAUGGUUCAAUAGUGAAAGACGGUUUUGCUGUCACUUAUAGAUGGAUCCGCGCCGCAUUAGCUAGUUGGUAAGGUAACGGCUUACCAAGGCAACGAUGCGUAGCCGACCUGAGAGGGUGAUCGGCCACACUGGAACUGAGACACGGUCCAGACGCCUACGGGAGGCAGCAGUAGGGAAUCUUCCGCAAUGGGCGAAAGCCUGACGGAGCAACGCCGCGUGAGUGAUGAAGGUCUUCGGAUCGUAAAACUCUGUUAUUAGGGAAGAACAAAUGUGUAAGUAACUAUGCACGUCUUGACGGUACCUAAUCAGAAAGCCACGGCUAACUACGUG